rnacentral:rRNA from 1 species
GUGGCUACGUGUUACGGUUCUAGCGAGCCCAACCUCCCACCCGUGUUUACUGUACCUUAGUUGCUUCGGCGGGCCCGCCAUUCAUGGCCGCCGGGGGCUCUCAGCCCCGGGCCCGCGCCCGCCGGAGACACCACGAACUCUGUCUGAUCUAGUGAAGUCUGAGUUGAUUGUAUCGCAAUCAGUUAAAACUUUCAACAAUGGAUCUCUUGGUUCCGGCAUCGAUGAAGAACGCAGCGAAAUGCGAUAACUAGUGUGAAUUGCAGAAUUCCGUGAAUCAUCGAGUCUUUGAACGCACAUUGCGCCCCCUGGUAUUCCGGGGGGCAUGCCUGUCCGAGCGUCAUUGCUGCCCAUCAAGCACGGCUUGUGUGUUGGGUCGUCGUCCCCUCUCCGGGGGGGACGGGCCCCAAAGGCAGCGGCGGCACCGCGUCCGAUCCUCGAGCGUAUGGGGCUUUGUCACCCGCUCUGUAGGCCCGGCCGGCGCUUGCCGAACGCAAAUCAAUCUUUUUCCAGGUUGACCUCGGAUCAGGUAGGGAUACCCGCUGAACUUAAGCAUAUCAAAAG